CAACAUACUAGGAGAAAAUUCCCAACUCUUUCAUGUAGCCUCCAAGGCUGGCAUGAUCUGGCCUGGCCCAUCCUUCCUUCCAUCUUUGUCUUAACUCACUUUCCUCCCGACUCGCUCUGCUGCAGCCAGACCUAGAAAUCUCAGGCUCUGUUCUUCCUUGGGGACAUGGCCUGUGCAGUUCCUUUUACCCAGAUAUUUUUCCUGCAACUCUUUGUAUGUUUCAUUCUUGUAGACCCAGCUUAGACAUUGUCUUCUUAGAGCAAUCUUUCCUGAUCACAUGAUCUAAAGUUAUUCUACUCAUAAAUUUCUCUCCUCAGUACCUAUUGGUUUCUUUCUCAAUACUCUGUGUAUUUUGUAAUUGUUUGGUUGUU
rnacentral:lncRNA from 10 species